CCUAGAUAUGAAGAAAGCGGAGAUGAAACUCGGAAAUACAUUGUCAAUGGCGUGGAAUUAAUAUAAUAGUUGUUAAUAAAACCAGGCAAUAAAGUAUAAACGAACGAACGAACGAAUUUCUCACAACUACCACGAACUGCAACGGUGGCUCAUUUUCAUUUGUUUGAAGUUUUACACAUCGUCCGUCAAUAUGUAGCCUCGAAGACAAAUGAGCAUCGUUGCACCGAUGCGCUAAAAUGUACACAAAGAAAGUAGGUGGCACAUUCAUUUCGCCGGGUGGCGUUACAUAAUGUCACGAAUAUUAUCUCUGCUCAAGGUGUGCCUUGGCACUACUCAAAUGAACUAUCGUCAUGUAACCAAUAACAGAAGGCAAGAUUUUAUAGUUUUGUCUGAUAAUCCUUUUUUAUCGGGGAAUGUUAUGAGUUAAAGUACAUCACACUACGAUACAUAGAAAGGUGAAAAAGGACCUAGACGGGUAAAGCAACGCGCGUAGUCUAGUGUAUUCUCGUAAAAUGACUUUUUUUUAAAAAUCGGUAAGCCUACUUACACAAAAUAAAUUUGUUUGAUUGACUGAUGAGAUUGGUAUAAGUAAAUUAUAACCUUUGUUCACAUUCAUUAUACGAAUAAAAUGC